UAAGGAAUAUUGCGCAAUGGGGGAAACCCUGACGCAGCAACGCCGCGUGGAGGAUGACACUUUUCGGAGCGUAAACUCCUUUUAUCAGGAAAGAAUAAUGACGGUACCUGAUGAAUAAGCACCGGCUAACUCCGUGCCAGCAGCCGCGGUAAUACGGGGGGUGCAAGCGUUACUCGGAAUCACUGGGCGUAAAGGACGCGUAGGCGGAUUAUCAAGUCUUUUGUGAAAUCUAGUGGCUUAACCACUAAACUGCUUAGGAAACUGAUAGUCUAGAGCAGGGGAGAGGUAGAUGGAAUUCUUGGUGUAGGGGUAAAAUCCGUAGAGAUCAAGAAGAAUACCCAUUGCGAAAGCGAUCUGCUGGAACCUAACUGACGCUGAGGCGUGAAAGCGUGGGUAGCAAACAGG
rnacentral:rRNA from 1 species